AUAUCUAUUCGAUGGGCGAUGGGGCGGUACGACGAAGGGCGGAUUAAUUCGGGAACAUUCGGUUUUCGUGUCCUCCUCCUUUUAUACCAUCAGCGUGGGGGAUUCGGGAUUUUACCUCGCGCGGAAUCAAAUUCACUGCGGCUGUUCGGCGGUUUUCUUCUUCUGAUCGAGUGUAUCGGUAAUUAGGGUUGAUAAAUGGCCAGUGGAUUUGGGGAAUCGUCGGGCAGAGAGCCACAAAACUCUUCUUUUUCUGGUAGCAGCAGCAGCAGCAAUGAUGCAGGUAGCUUUGAAUGCAACAUCUGCUUUGAGUUGGCACAAGACCCAAUUGUCACCCUCUGUGGCCAUCUCUUCUGCUGGCCCUGCCUUUACAAAUGGCUCCAUGUUCAUGCCCACUCUCAAGAAUGUCCGGUGUGCAAGGCCAUUAUUGAAGAGGAAAAGCUAGUCCCUCUCUAUGGUCGAGGAAAGAACCCGACCGACCCACGAUCUAAGUCGGUCCCAGGUGUCAACAUUCCCAACCGUCCUGCUGGCCAAAGGCCUGCGACAGCCACACCACCUGAUCCGAACCAUUUUCCUCACUCAAACCCAUGGUUUAUGGGUGGAACUCCAGUGGCAAGCACUAGGUUUGGGAACUAUACGUUCUCUGCUGCAAUUGGUGGUCUGUUCCCAUUGCUGAGCUUUCAAGUUCAUGGGUUCCCAGAUGCAACUGCUUAUGGGCCUGCGGCUGGUUUCCCAUAUGGGUAUGCGAAUUCAUUUCAUGGAGGACAUGCUCAUGGGUUCCCACGACCUGCAUCUCAUGGACAGCAGGCUGAUGUUUAUCUGAAGGCACUGUUGUUUCUGGAUUUUGAACUGGGAAGGAAGAGGUUAUUGUAACAGAUAUGGUAAAGAAUUACUGACAUGUGCUUUGAGGGGUUAGGAUGCGAGAUGACUGCCACUAGGAGGAGCUCGUGAAAGAUGUGGGGGGCUGAAGGAGAGUUGUAAAGCAGCUUUUGUGGAAACCGUGAAAGGAUACAUAGAAGUUGACCAUGAUGAUGGAGGUACAAAGGGUUGAUGGCGAGUGCUUAAGCAGCUCUUUUCUGAAGUCAAGAAAGGAUAUGAAAAAACUUGGCAUCAUUGUGAAAGUGGAGUAUAACAAAGUGUAAAUUUAGAUGAUAUAGGUUGAACAAAGUAAUAAGAUCAUUAGAGAGAACAGUGAUGCAUCAAAGCCUUAUGAAUGCCUGAGGAUUCUAUCUAAAGAAGUAGAUGGUUGGAGACAUGGGCCACUUUUCUCCACCUAUCUGUUUUUGACUGUUGUAAUUGAUUGUCGUGAUUUGACAUCAUGGUCACCUAGUUACUAGAGGAAUGUGAUAUAUCUCAUUUUCAGAAGAAUAUGCUCUAGAAUAAUCUUUCUAAUUGAGGAGCAAGAAAUUGAUUACAACUUUCAUCUCUUGAGACUUGGUCGUUGAUAUGCAUUCCUGUGCGCUCUCCUCUUAAUAAGUGUUAAUGGAAACGAACUUAACGUCUGCAGUUUUGAA